rnacentral:lncRNA from 1 species
UCAGUGGAUCACAAUUUGAUUGUGGCUUGAUAAUCUAUGUGUCCAAAAUAUGAUAGUGGGAGAAAAAUAGAGCUCAAAGAGAAAGUCUCUUAAGUGCAAUGAGUCAUAGAACAUAUAGAACCUAUUCAUAUUGAGCCAGUACAUGUAGUCCCUCCUUCAUCUCAUAGAGUUCAAUAUCCGAUCUUAUUGAAAAAUACUUAGAUAUUUUGUCAGAGGAUAUAGAGAAAGUAUUCCUCAUGGG